rnacentral:rRNA from 1 species
CUCAACCAUAGACUCGGCGAAAUUGCACUACGAGUAAAGAUGCUCGUUACGCGCGGCAGGACGAAAAGACCCCGGGACCUUCACUACAACUUGGUAUUGGUGUUCGGUACUGUUUGUGUAGGAUAGGUGGGAGACUGUGAAACUCUAACGCCAGUUAGAGCGGAGUCGUUGUUGAAAUACCACUCUGACCGUAUUGGACACCUAACUUCGAACCCUAAUCGGGUUCAGGGACAGUGCCUGGCGGGUAGUUUAACUGGGGCGGUUGCCUCCUAAAAUGUAACGGAGGCGCCCAAAGGUUCCCUCAACCUGGACGGCAAUCAGGUGUUGAGUGUAAGUGCACAAGGGAGCUUGACUGCGAGACCUACACGUCAAGCAGGGACGAAAGUCGGGACUAGUGAUCCGGCACCCCCGAGUGGAAGGGGUGUCGCUCAACGGAUAAAAGGUACCCCGGGGAUAACAGGCUGAUCUUCCCCAAGAGUCCAUAUCGACGGGAUGGUUUGGCACCUCGAUGUCGGCUCGUCGCAUCCUGGGGCUGGAGCAGGUCCCAAGGGUUGGGCUGUUCGCCCAUUAAAGCGGCACGCGAGCUGGGUUUAGAACGUCGUGAGACAGUUCGGUCUCUAUCCGCCGCGCGCGUCAGAAACUGA